ACAUCUAAUACAAACAUCUAAACGCUCACAACUAAUCUCUAAUUGCCAAACAGGGCUAAAGGGAAAGAAAAUAGAAAGCAUACAUAAUUUAUACAUAUUCUAAACCAGAUUCGAUUCCAAAUUUUGGAUAUAAUCACCUCAACUGCAGUAUGAGUAUUAUAUAUAUCAGGCACAAGAUAUCUGCAGAAACCAAAACUAGAGACCUAGAAUCAGAUAGGUGCAAUCAAGACAACUUCUGAUCAAAUGAUUAAUAAUGGGAGCACGGUUGCAGCAGGACCGUGGGGAGGCCGAAACGGGUUUAAAUGGGAUGAUGGAGUUUAUUCUGGUGUAAGGCAAGUAGUGAUCUCCUCAAGCUCACAUGGAAUUCACUUCAUACAGUUUGAGUAUGACAAGAAUGGUCACACUGUUUGGUCUGACAAGCAUGGUGGCAACUCUGGUACCAGGACUGACCAGAUCAAGCUUGACUACCCUGCUCAAUUCCUAGUAUCAAUAAGUGGAUACUGUGGUUCUGUUACACUAGGUGGCCCAGUGAUUGUUCGAUCACUUCUGCUAGAAACCAGCAGGAAAACUUUCGGACCGUUUGGCAUUGAACAAGGAGCUCCUUUUUCACUUCCUGUAAAUGGUCAAAUGAUAGUGGGCUUCCAUGGAUGGAGGAGUAACUACCUUGAUUCCAUUGGAGUUUAUGUAAAGCCUCUCGGCAUGCAAACAAAAUCUUUGGAGACACACAAGAUGAUCCCUAGGAAUAGCAUGAAAGUCCUGUCUCUUGGACCAUGGGGAGGGGAAGGUGGAAUUGUGUUCGAUGAUGGGAUAUAUGCAGGGGUACGGGAAGUGCAUAUAACGAGAUCAGGAGGUUUGGUGUCCAUCCGAGUAUGUUAUGAUCAAAAUGGAAGGAUGGUUUGGGGACACAAGAGUGGUGGUAGUGGAGGACUCAAGCUUGAUAAGAUUGUUUUCGACUAUCCCUAUGAAGUAUUGACUCAUAUAACGGGCUAUUAUGGAUCUACAAUGUUGCGAGGACCUACAAUCGUCAAAUCAAUUACUUUUCACACCAACAAAAGGAGUUAUGGACCCUUUGGAGAUCAACAAGGAAUAUCAUUUUCCUCGGGCUCAAUAGGUGCAAUUGUUGGUUUUCAUGGCAGAAAUGGAUAUUUUGUGGACAGUAUUGGAGUCCAUGUACUUGAAAGCAAGCCAGUGAUUGCUCAGCCGGUCAUUGCUCAGCCAGUCAUCGACCAGCCAGUCAUCGCCCAUCCUUAUCAUCAUGAUCCUUAUAACAAGCCUAGCUUAAAAUCUUCUGAGGUAGCAUGGGGAGUGCCACUUCAAAGACAACUUUCAACACUCGAUGAAUCAGGCCCAUGGGGUGGUGAAGAUGGUAAGCCUUGGGAUGAUGGAAUACACACUGGUGUUAAGAAAAUUAUCCUAACAAGAGGAGAUGCUAUUUGCUCAAUUCAAGUUCAGUAUGAUCAAAAUGGCCACUCUGUCUGGUCUGCUCCACAUGGAAUUCCCUACGACACUUGCACCUACCAUAUAAAUUUUGAUUACCCAUAUGAAGUGCUUACAAGCAUCAGUGGAAGCUACUACUACUUAGCUGGAGAUAUGCAGAAAAGGGUUGUUAAAUCUCUCACUUUCCAUACCAACAAGGCAAAAUAUGGACCAUAUGGUAAAGCCGUGGGCACAAUUUUUUCUUCGGCGAAUAAUGAAGGUAAAAUUGCUGGCUUCCAUGGAAGGAGUGGCACUUUCUUGGAUGCUAUCGGAAUCCAUAUGCAACAUUGGGUGCGCGACGAAGUGCCACAACAUCCGUAUCCUCCUGAGAGAGGAGUCUUUAGAAAUCUGCUUCACAAAAUUUACAGAAGUAAUUACAGUGGAAGUGAAGGGAAGUACAUAGCAGUAGGACCGUGGGGCGGCCAAAGUGGAUUGCGAUGGGAUGAUGGAGUUUAUUCCGGCGUAAGGCAAAUAGUGAUCUCCACCAGUUCAUCUGGAAUCCAUUCCAUACAGUUUGAGUAUGAUAAGAAUGGUCAUUCUAUUUGGUCUGACAAGCAUGGGGGAAACACUGGUACCAGGACUGAUCAGAUCAAGCUUGACUACCCAACUCAAUUCCUAGUCUCAAUUAGCGGAUACUGUGGUUCGAUUUCUGAAGGUGGUUCAGUAAUUGUUCGAUCACUUUCCUUUGAAACCAACAGGAAGAAAUAUGGACCUUUUGGCAUUGAAAAAGGAGCUCCUUUCUCACUUCCUGUAAAUGGUGAGAUGAUAGUGGGUUUCCAUGGAUGGAAGAGUAACUACCUUGAUUCUAUUGGGAUUUAUGUAAAGCCUACCCUCCAAACUAGACCUUCAGAUAUGCACAACAAGAUGAUCCCUACAAUAUCUUUUACUGAUGUUAAUAGAGGAGUUAUUGGUGGUGGCAAGAAAGUCCUGUCACUUGGACCAUGGGGUGGAGAUGGCGGAAAGGUAUUCGAUGAUGGGAUUAACUCAGGAGUAAGAGAAGUGCAUGUAAAGAGAACAGGAGGGUUGGUAUCGAUUCGAGUUUGUUAUGAUCAAAAUGGGAGGGUUGUUUGGGGGAACAAGAAUGGUGGAUCAGGAGGACUCAAGCUUGAUAAGAUUGUUUUUGACUAUCCCUAUGAAGUAUUGAAUCAUAUAACAGGUUACUAUCAAUCGACGUUUCUACGAGGACCUACAGUCAUCAAAUCACUUACAUUCCAUACCAACAAAAGGAGCUAUGGACCAUUUGGAGAUCAACAAGGCUUCUCCUUCUCCUCUGGCUCAUUAGGUCCAAUUGUUGGUUUUCAUGGCAAAAAUGGAUAUUUUGUGGAUUGCCUGGGAGUCCAUGUACUCGAAACCAAACCAUUCCUCCCUCACCCUCAUCCCCAUCCUUUUGACAUGUCCGGCUUAAAAAACUCUGAGGUAGUAUGGGGAGUGCCAAGACAAGAUACUUCUCUCUAUGAAACAGGGCCAUGGGGAGGUGAAGGAGGUAGGCCUUGGGAUGAUGGACUACAUACUGGGGUGAAGCAAAUUCGUCUAACAAGAGGAGAUGCUAUUUGCUCAAUACAAUUUCUAUAUGUUCAAAAUGACCGCUCUGUUUGGAGCACUAUACAUGGAAUUGCUAGCAACAUUAACACCUACCAUAUAAAGAUUGAUUACCCAUACGAGUUUCUUACAAGUAUUAGUGGAUGCUAGGAUAUCCCAAAAAUUGGAGAUAUGCAAAGAAGGGUAAUAAGAUCUCUGACCUUUUAUACAAAUAAGGCAAAAUAUGGACCAUAUGGGAAAGCUAUAGGCACAUAUUUUUCUUCGGCGAAUCGAGAAGGUAAAGUUAUUGGCUUCCAUGGAAGAAGUGAUACAUACUUGGAUGCCAUAGGAGUCCAUAUGCAACAUUGGGUGAGCGACGAACUGUCCCGCCAUUCCAAUCAUCCUGAGAGAGGAAGCAUCGGAACUUUGCUGCACAACCUUUACAAAUGAUGUCCGUGAAACUAUGGCUCCGUUUGGUAGGGCGUAAAACGUUUUUGUGGAAAACUGUUUUUUGUUUGGUUGGCAAAAGAGUGUAAAACUAUUUUCCCUUGGGAUAUGGAAAACCAUUUUCCCUUCAGUUUUCCUUCUCUCUUAUACAAUCCUCUCACUACCUUCUUACUUUCCCUUUCAUUUUCCUUUCAUUUCAUCAUUUUUCUUACAUGAAACCAAACAACGGAAAACUAAUUUUGGAUUUGUGUUUUACAUUGUAAAUUGUUUUCCAUGAAAAUCAUUUUACACCAAAAAUGUUUUACGCUCUACCAACGGAACCUAUAUAAGCUUCAUGCACGUAAUCUAUCUUAGUAGUGAGUAUACAUAAACUUCAAGUGUGGAACAAUAUGUGUAAGGGUUCUUAAGAUGUUUAUUGUCUAAUUAGUGAACUCUUUGUUAUCAGAGUUGUAUUGUAUUGUAUUGAUCAUCUGUGAUUGGCUUUUUAAGACUCAUACGUUAAAUAAAAGUUCAUAAUGUUUUGGGUUUU